UUUCAGAUAUUUGGCCAACGCGCUCGUCUCGAAGACCAGGAGCCUCUUCAUCCGGUGUCGCGUCCACUCUGGGUGAAGAGGGCGCUGUGACCUACACUGAUUACACGCGCCGCUACUUCAGACAUGAAGAACUGAACGUGAAAGAGAGCGGAGCAGCAUUAUCAUCAAUUAUCAAAAUACACCAUUAUCGGUUUCAAGAUUGCUCUGGACUAAGGUAUAUUAUACCCACGUGUCAGGGAUGGAUAGACUCAACAGAUAAAUUGCAUAUUGCAAGAUAGAGAAGAGAGCCUAGGAUCUUCCGGAUAUUUCUUCUGGUGAGAAAAUUCU